rnacentral:rRNA from 1 species
AACGAACGCUGGCGGCAUGCCUAACACAUGCAAGUCGAACGAGACCUUCGGGUCUAGUGGCGCACGGGUGCGUAACGCGUGUGAACCUGCCCUUAGGUUCGGAAUAACUCCCCGAAAGGGGUGCUAAUACCGGAUAAUGUCUUCGGACCAAAGAUUUAUCGCCUUUGGAUGGGCCCGCGUUGGAUUAGCUAGUUGGUAGGGUAAAAGCCUACCAAGGCGACGAUCCAUAGCUGGUCUGAGAGGAUGAUCAGCCACACUGAGACUGAGACACGGCCCAGACUCCUACGGGAGGCAGCAGUGGGGAAUAUUGGACAAUGGGCGAAAGCCUGAUCCAGCAAUGCCGCGUGAGUGAUGAAGGCCUUAGGGUUGUAAAGCUCUUUUACCCGGGAUGAUAAUGACAGUACCGGGAGAAUAAGCUCCGGCUAACUCCGUG